UCAAAUAUUGAGAGCUCCACCUCCCCCCACUGUUUUCGGCCAAGGCAAGAGCAAAUCAACCCCCAUUUUUAGCUUCUCUAAAAUUGAUUCCUUGGUGUAGAUCAACUAUAUUGAAGUCCCUAAGUAGCGUGGAAGAGUUGUUUGAGUCAUCCAACCACUAGUUGUGCCCAAUUUCAAACCCUAACUAUUGAAGGAAGUGAAUAACAAAGAUCGUGGGCAGCCCGAAUCAUAGUUUGGACUUAGCUUGAGUUGGAUCAUAUUGGAGAGCGUUUGAGGUACAGACGCACAGCCUGGUGAUCCACCUGUUUAGGACACCCUUUCUGCUAUUCGGAGUGCUCCUCUCUUUCCGGAGCUUAUACUUUUGGUAUAUAUAUUUAUUAGUGCAUUUGUAUAUAUUCGUUCAUGGGUACGGCGGGGCCCUGUCCCGUCAUAUGAUUAUGUCGGUCUGUUUAGAGGUCUGUGGACAUGUUUGUGGGUUAGGGUCUUUCUGUA